GUUCUGUAGUGUGUGGAAGCCAUGCUCUGCUCUUCUUUUCUAUGUUCUACUGAAAUCUGCUCUGCCUAAAAGCUCAAAAAAUUCGAGCCUAAGUUGUAAGUACUACAACUCUUUUUUUUCUUUUUUUUUUAUUUGAGGGGAAAAGUAUUACAACUCUACGAGUAAUAAAAUUCCUCAAAGUAUUUUACUUUAAAAAAAGAAAAAAAAAACUCUACAAGUGACAAAAUAAAAACUUGUUUUAAAAAAAACAAAAUAAAAACUUUACAGGUUUAUAUUGCUCGAUUCUUUCUCCCACUUAGAAAUGAUGAACCCUAACAUACCUCCAAUUGAUUGAUCGAAACUCCCAAAUUGAUUGCUCGAAUCUCCCAAAUUGAUUGCUCGAAUCUUUUAUUACUCGAUUACUCAUUUCUGCUUGAUUCCCUUUCGUCUGAAGUGCUUCCAAUUGAUACGAUAGAAUUGCUGGAUACAAUUCUCUCUGCUGCUCAAUUUUCGUUUGAGUAAUCGCCCAAAUCGAAAGUUUCAGGAAUCAAGAUCUAGAUGGACAUUAUGAGAAAGCUAGACAAGCUAAGCAAGGAUAGAACAAAAUAGAAUCAGAAUGAGGGAUUUGGGGGUUACAUUAAUGUUUUAUACACUGAAACAGUCGAUGAAGGGAUCAAAAUAAACAAAAAAAAAA